UAUCAAAUUAAAAAAAAUGGCUGCAGGGGUUUAAGCCUGCGCAGAAACGACCGACAGGCAUAUAAAUCAUAGCUAAUAUUUUUAAUUCAAUUUGGAAGAUCGAAAAUGAUGUAAAAUUUGCAGAUCCAGUAGAUCCUACUCAAAAGCGAAUUAUUUUUUUUUCAGGGGAAAAAUUCAAUCAAAGUUUAAGCCAUCGACCACCAAUAUUAACUUAUUUUGAAUUCAAAGC